AAGACUUUAAGUUAAAUAAACUAAUAGUCUUCAAAGCUAUAAAUAUAGGAAUAAUCUUUUAAGUCUUA
rnacentral:tRNA from 1 species